UGUGAGGCGGACGUGCUACCCAGUGCGCCACCAAGCCGCCGAAUUCUUUUAAAAAUUUUUUAUUGUGCACUUGGAGUCUCCAGGAUUGUAGAAAAGUUUCCUCCAGGUACUGCAGAGAUACUUUUACAAUCUGUUUGGGGGAUAUUUUUCACUCCGUUCAAUUUUACCCAUUUUCGAUUAUGUAUUUUUAUCUAUUAUGUCACAGUCUCUGUGGUGGCACUACAAAACAAAUCCGCCAUCUUUAUUACUCGGAGAGACUUUUGUAGUCCAAACAACUCAAGGAUGCCAAGUGGAGAGAUCAAAUGUUCUGUUGUUCGAUGCAUUAAUCCACACAACUCAUUACACCUUCCCUCCAGCAUCAGAACCUCAAACAAGUGCCUGGUUAAGUUUCAUUUUUCAGGACGAAGUUCCCACAAGUCUUGCUUGUUCAAGGAUGAGUGUUCCAGAAAUCUCUUGUCAGUAUAGAGAAGGAUUUGCCAAAAGACUUCGUUUCAUUGAAGGUUCAGUUUCAUUGAGGGUUCAGUUCCUUUGAACUAUGAAAAUGAUGGACACAGUAAAGCGGUAAGCUUGAGUUGACACACUUUUAUAUUAUUGCGUGUCUAUGAUGCCCUCGUUGUCAUAGCAUUAGCAUCAGGCUUUCUGGGGGGUAUUCCGGAAAACAUAUUCAACAUACUCUGAGUCUAUCCCUGAAUUUUGCAUUAACUUACUCCGAGAUGGGAGACUCUGAGUAUUUGGUUCCAGAACAGCUGAUCUGAGUUAGGUCAAUCAACUCUGAGCAUGUUAACCUGGAGUUAUGCGAGUGCACAACCACAAUAAAAAGCCAUCAUCAAUAGAGACGCGAUACCACGAGUCACCAUGACAAAUGAGGAAAAACAGAUCACCUUAUUUUACCACAAUGGAGUUGGAGGUCCUUAUGCAAGCCUACAGCAAGUACGAAUGUAUUUUUUGCCGCAAAUCUAAUACGGCUGCAGCAGCGAAGGAGAGAGAGAGACAUCAUGGGAGGAAAUUGCUGCCUGAGUCAAUGCGUAAGUUUGAAUGUACUAUUCCAUUGAUGUAACAUUUAACCAUAAGAUCGUAGCAUAGCCUGUCGUUAUUAAUUUAAGUAGGAAUGUAAUCAGAUUUCCAUUUAGGUGCAAUCCAACAGGAGAAAAAAGGGCUUGGAAGCAGCUCAAAAUGAAACAUAAAAACAAGGCAUGUUUUGCUCGGCUGUGAUUGCACUCACUUUGAUUUUAAUAGAAUUGUUUUAAAUGGACUUACGCUAUUAAACAGUCAAUAUUAAUUUAAACUAAAAUAUUAAUUCAUUGGCUACUUCAAAUAAUUUAAACCCCAAACAAAAUGUUUUCCAACGACCUUUCAAUUAAUUCUACACUUUGUGUAUUAACACUUGACACAAACUCAUUUACCUACCUAUUGAAGUCAUUUAAAAUGUGAUGCUGUAGCCUACACCAACACUCAAUAAAAUACUAUUUACAAACAUUGAGUUCUGCUCAGCCAACAGAAAAAAGCUAUGCUCUGGUCCAAUAUUAUAAAGAAAAUGCCGUUUGCAAAAAAAAAAAAAC